AUUGUUAGUAUAUAAUAAUUAUGAAACAUAAAAUUAUGGCGGUAUUUUAAGCUUUUCAGAGGAAUUUGCUCUUUUAUGGAUAAAACACCAAAACCCUACUAAAAUUGGUUAAGCAGUUUGUAUACCACUAUUUAAAGUAAUAACUUGUUCUUAUUACUAAGAUUUAAUUAAAAUAAAAAAAGUUAAGUCAAGGUGCAGCAUAAGUUUUAGCAUGAAGUGAAUUACAUUACUUUAUAGUGAAGCUUUUUGAAAGAUAUUAUUAGGAUUUGAAAGUAAAAUUUUACUAGAAAGAAAAUUUGAAUUUAGCUCUAAAAUAUGUAC
rnacentral:rRNA from 1 species